AUGCCUAGAUCCAGCGGUGUGGGAUUUCGAAUCUGUUCCCCAGCCACCAUGGAGGAACGGAGGGGGAGAUUCCGGAACUUAACCACCCUUCGUCAAAGGGGGAGUGAGGUGGGUGGCCUGGCGCAAGUGUUUUGGACCAUGGCAGUCGGGCUAGGUUAUAAUGAUGCAGCACUGAAAGACUUAUUCAACAAUUGCCUAGAUGAUCCUUUGCCUCAAUGGGAGAUGAUGGGGCUGGAGAUCCUUGACUUUUGGGGUUUUACUAAUUACCUGCACCAUCGUGCUCGGUGGGAUACAUCGGCUGAUCCAGCGCCACAGCACAAGAUGGCCGCCAGCCCAGCGCCACAGCACAAGAUGGCCGCCAGCCCAGCGCCACAGCACAAGAUGGCCGCCAGCCCAGCGCCACAGCCCAAGAUGGCCGCGGAGACAGUAUUAAGUUACUUUUCCAGGAUGUGCCAGAUCCCAGAGUUUCCCGGGAGUGUUCACAUCACGGCCGCUGAGCCAGCGCCAAUGGCCAAGAUGGCCACCAGUGCAGCACCACAGCACAAGAUGGCCGCCAGCCCAGCGCCACAGCACAAGAUGGCCGCCAACCCAGCACCACAGCACGAGAUGACCACCAGCCCAGCACCACUGCACAGGAUGGUCGAAUCUACACCUGUGUUGGCAGACAAGAUGGUUGACUCAACGCCUGAGUCUUCCGUCAAGGAGCCACCGGCACGUCAUCAUAGAGGCCGCAGGAGGAGGAGACAGGCGUCAGCCGUUCCUCAAAGCCCGGAGGACGUUCCCGAGCAGGCCGCUGCCGUCCAGGAGGACGUUCCCGAGCAGGCCGCUGCCGUCCAGGAGGACGUUCCCGAGCAGGCCGCUGCCGUCCAGGAGGACGUUCCCGAGCAGGCCGCUGUCGUCCAGGUGGACGUGUCCAAGGUUCCCGAUGCAGUGCCCGAUGCCGAGGCGGUGCCCGAUGCCAGGGCGGUGCCCGAGGCGGUCCCCGAUGCCGAGGCGGUGCCCGAUGCCGAGGCGGUCCCCGAUGCCCUUGUCCGUGUCCUUGUCCGAUGCCGUUCCUGA
ensembl:lncRNA